ensembl:snRNA U6 U6 spliceosomal RNA
GUGCUCACUUCAGCAGUACAUAUACUAAAAUUAAAACAAUACAGAGAUUAGCAUGGCCCAUGUGCAAGGAUGACAUACAAAUUUGUGAAGCAUUCCAUAUUUUU